AUGGAGCCGACCUUGAAAUACCACCCUUUAAUGUUUGAUGUUCUAACGUUGACCCGUAAUCCGGGUUGCGGACAGUGUCUGGUGGGUAGUUUGACUGGGGCGGUCUCCUCCUAAAGAGUAACGGAGGAGCACGAAGGUUGGCUAAUCCUGGUCGGACAUCAGGAGGUUAGUGCAAUGGCAUAAGCCAGCUUGACUGCGAGCGUGACGGCGCGAGCAGGUGCGAAAGCAGGUCAUAGUGAUCCGGUGGUUCUGAAUGGAAGGGCCAUCGCUCAACGGAUAAAAGGUACUCCGGGGAUAACAGGCUGAUACCGCCCAAGAGUUCAUAUCGACGGCGGUGUUUGGCACCUCGAUGUCGGCUCAUCACAUCCUGGGGCUGAAGUAGGUCCCAAGGGUAUGGCUGUUCGCCAUUUAAAGUGGUACGCGAGCUGGGUUUAGAACGUCGUGAGACAGUUCGGUCCCUAUCUGCCGUGGGCGCUGGAGAACUGAGGGGGGCUGCUCCUAGUACGAGAGGACCGGAGUGGACGCAUCACUGGUGUUCGGGUUGUCAUGCCAAUGGCACUGCCCGGUAGCUAAAUGCGGAAGAGAUAAGUGCUGAAAGCAUCUAAGCACGAAACUU
rnacentral:rRNA from 1 species